rnacentral:rRNA from 1 species
GCUCAGGAUGAACGCUAGCUACAGGCUUAACACAUGCAAGUCGAGGGGUAGCAGGGUAGCAAUACCGCUGACGACCGGCGCACGGGUGAGUAACACGUAUCCAACCUUCCCAUAACUCGGGGAUAGCCUUUCGAAAGAAAGAUUAAUACCCGAUAGUACUUUUUCAAGGCAUCUUGAGAAAGUUAAAGAUUUAUUGGUUAUGGAUGGGGAUGCGUUCCAUUAGAUAGUUGGUGAGGUAACGGCUCACCAAGUCUUCGAUGGAUAGGGGUUCUGAGAGGAAGGUCCCCCACAUUGGUACUGAGACACGGACCAAACUCCUACGGGAGGCAGCAGUGAGGAAUAUUGGUCAAUGGGCGAGAGCCUGAACCA